AUGAGGACAAGCUCCUUUGUUAAUGUUGAAGGGACAUUGGACAAGACCCCAAUUUCAAAGCUGAGCAAAAGACAUCAACCUUUUAGCUACGUGUUAAUCGCAAAUAUCAUGAAUGCAAGAAGUUUGCGCCAUACAAGGGGUGUCCCUCUUAAAGCGUUGGAGGGUAAUACAACAAGAAUGCAACAAGUUUUGAGAUACGUCUCGUUAGUGGCCUUGGCAUUAAGGACAUGGUAUACAUGUGCCCAUCUUGGUCUCCUUUGUUUCAUGCUUGCUUGUCUCCUUGCUUGUCAAUUUGCCCAUAUGCUUGCUUGCCCAUAUGCCAUUAGCCCAUAUGCUUGCAUGCUCUUCAUUUGUAGGCAUUCCAAACGCCUAACAUGGGUACAAGUCGCUCAAGUUCACCCGUUGUUGGAUGGUCAUCAACGGGGACGAGAAGCUCAAGGCACAAUAUGCCGCCCUCCGGGCGUGUGGAAGGAAGGAAGCCGUCGAAGAGGGCAAGGAAGAGAAGCCGCGGCCAAGGGGAAAGACCAUGUCUAA
rnacentral:rRNA from 1 species